UGCCAGCCGCCGCGGUAAGACAGAGGGUGCAAACGUUGUUCGGAAUUACUGGGCAUAAAGAGCACGUAGGCGGCUUAUCAAGUCACGCGUGAAAUCCCCCGGCUCAACCGGGGAACUGCGUGUGAUACUGGUAGGCUAGAGGUCGGUAGGGGUGAGCGGAACUCUAGGUGGAGCGGUGAAAUGCGUAGAUAUCUAGAGGAACACCGGUGGCGAAAGCGGCUCACUGGACCGAAUCUGACGCUGAGGUGCGAAAGCUAGGGUAGCAAACGGGAUUAGAUA
rnacentral:rRNA from 1 species